AGCUUUGAGCUGUGGCAGUCUCAUAGCUAAUGAGGUUCAUCCGAGCCACGAUUACUGCUAAUUGCACACUUCCCAAUACCGCACCAUGACAACUUGAAAUAUGGUCAGCAUUGGUAAUUUCUGACUGAAAAAAAA